GUAAUAUGUAGGUAAUUAAUAAUAUAUUACAAUAUAUAUUAAUGUAAUAAUAUAUUAUAUCAAAGCAUAUUAUAUUAUACAAUAGAUACUAAUAUAUGUCUGGUUUAUAUUGCCACUUAGACAAUGCAUAUGAAAUAUAUUAUCUACAGAACAUAAUAUUAUCUAUGCAUUAUACAUAAUUACUAAUACGUUACCAAUGUUGAUGUAAUGAAACACCCUUGUCUGACAGGAGGUUUUGUCAGCUCUGCAGCCAGGAUUUGUGGAGGACUGUAGUGCACUGAAUACUCCAUGAUGCACAUUAUAUAUGUGCCAAAUAUUACAUGUUCAUUAUAUCAUGUUAUAUAGAAUUCAUACAUUGCUGAUAUGAUUUAUAUGAUUUUCUUAUAUCCAUUUUAAAGAAAAGUAUACUGCAUGUAUUUGCCCACAGUAUACAGUUAGCAGAGUAAUGUUAUAGUUUUUGUCAUGAUAUGUACAUAGAGCUGAAAUAUAUCCCAGGGAUGUGUGCAUAUGUAGAUAUACUUGUAUAUGUAAAGGUAAUAUGUUGUAUUUAUGUAGCCUAUAACCAAUUUUUGAAUAAGAUUAUUACCCUUAUAGUCAAUAUUUAAUAUUCAUAACCAGGUAUUAAUAGGAUAAAAAUAUAGUGCAUAUAUGAUAUAAUACAUUGUAUAAUAUAUAAUGCAUAUCACAUUAUAUAUCUUGUAUUAUACUUAUAUUGUAGAUCACAGAUUGCAUAUAUUUUCCUUAAUGUAAUAAUAUAUGUCCAUUGUAUCUGUGUGUAUUUAAUACCUAUAACACAUACUCUAACUAAUAGAAGCAUAUGGACAUGCAUAACAUCAAAUAUUAGAUAUAUAUUUUGAAAUACUGUAGCAUACAAUAUAUAGAACAUAGGAUGAGAUCCCUAAUAUAUUUUCUGUAGUUAAAGAGAGCAUAAUAAUAGGUGUAGGAAUAAGAUAAUACCUAUACAAAUGUUUGUAAAAAAUGUUAGGCAUCCUUCUAAAGCUGAAGGAAGGUAUAACUAGAGGGGAUAUUGAGAGGAAAUUCUUGGCUGUGAGGCUGGGGAGGCCCUGACAGAGGUUGCCCAGAGAAGCUGUGAUUGCCCCAUCCCUGAAGUGUUCCAAGGCAGGUUGAACAGGACUUGGAGCAACCUGGGAUAGUGGGAAGUGUCCCUGCCCAUGGUAAGGUUGGAAUGACAUGAGCUUUGAAUUCUUUUCCAACACAAUCCAUUCUGGGACUUCAUGGUAAGUAUAAACUAGCCUUUUUAUUUAUUUAUAUAUAUUUAUAUAUUUUUAAUAUAUAUAUUAUUUAAUUUAGUAAAUUAUUUUUAGUGCCAUUUUUGCAGCUGCUGCCAUUGGUGCAGAGCUGUGGGUGCCUUGGGCCCAUGUUCGUGCCCCAUGCUCGGCUGGCAUUGGCAGUGCUGCUGCAGCCCCUUGGCUGUGGCUGUGUCCUGCCUGUGUCCCCAGUGCCCCCAGCGCCUGUGGGUGCCAGUGCCAGGCUGGGCAUGCCCUCUGGCCAGAGCCUGCCCUGGCCUGACUGCUGCCAGGGUGCCAGCCCUGGUGAGGGGCAUGGCUGGCUCAGAGUGUUGCCAGCACAGCCCCUGAGUGCACAGAGCAGCCAGCCCCAGCCUGCUCUCCACUCCCUCGAGGGUGGUGGUCCUGGGCCUGGGGCGGGGAUCCUUCUUAGGAAAGGUGGGUGGAACUGAGUUCCCAACAGCUCGUUAGUGUGUGUGCAGUUACUUCUGCAAAGGGAGCUUGAUCUGGAGCUAGCUGGAUUCACUCUCCGUUUCUGGUUAGAGCACCUGAAAGCAAUUUAGGAGAGGACUUCGCUGUGGCUCUUCAGCCAAGGAAGGGAACUUUCCUUUGUCUUUUCAGACAUCAUUUUGGCUGAGUGCAGCCCCCUGCACAAGCCCCCUGCUUAAGGAAUGUCGCUGUAGAGUACAAAAUUACCACUAAAAACUUCUUGAUUUUAAUGUGGGUGGUUGGGUUGUGAGACAUUGCAGGUAAGCAGGUUAUAGACAGUGGCUUCUGGGGGCCCCAAAAGUCUGUCUCUCUGCUUGGCACCGCAGGCAGGGCUAGGCUGGCAGGAGGUGCCACCCUGUAAGGUGGCAAAGGGCACUGCUGCCAUGUGAGGUCUUCAUGGCAUGAGCAUGGGUACCCCUGUGUCAGUGACAGUGUGAUGAAAACUCCUCAAGAGCACUCCGGUCUGGGAAUGCCACUGCCUGCUCCACACCUGGCAGCUGUUCCUGCAGAGAGGGACAGAAUCCACAUCCAGCAGGGACUGUCCCUGUCCCUGUGAGCCAGCCCUGCACACCCAUGGCACUCACAGCAGCCAGGCCAAGCAGCACCACCAGUGUCGUCGGGGUUCCAGCCCCAGCACCUCCCACCUGUCGCCACAGACACCACACAGGUUCCUUCACUGACAGAAAAUCAACAGAAAGCAAAACCCAACUGUGGGGUGAGGCAGAAAAUCAAAUCAGUUGUCCAAGCCCUCAGUGACAGAGGCUCCUUCCUGCAGCUGCACCAGGUGAGUUCCUGUGGGGCACCGAGGCUGAGCUGCUGCCCCUUGGGCACAGAGCUCACAGGCAUCACUGGCCAUGGCUGGAACGUGCCCCACAGGCACAGGGUGGCCUCUGGCCAGGUGCUGGCACUCAGUCGGUCAGACAGACAGAUGGCUGUAACACCAAGUGUAAGUGCAAAAACAGAUGGGGGCCUAACGGCACAUUUCCCAAAAAAUGCAAUCCCUUUCCUUAAAGCAACUCCCAUUCUGUUGGGAGGUGUGCAUGUGUGUGCCCAGGAGCAACCAAGCAGCAGCAGGACAGGGCUCUGUGGCUGCUGCAUCUCAGAUUUCUGUUGCUUUAAAAUACCUGGGACUUAACUAUAAAAAUUUUCACCCCAUCAAACUACGACACGUGGUAAACCAAAACAGAUCAGCUAUGGCCAACACGAGCUCUGCUCACUACAGCAGGUGCCAGGAGGACACCCUAAGUCCUCAGAAGCCUUCAGCUGUGUUGUACUCUGGCUAGAGACAGGUCACAACCUGCUGGGACAAGGUGAGGAGGUUACCCACUUCUUCACACUGUGCUGGGAAGGGGUCAUGGCAGGAGUGUGGCUUUUGUUCUUCUAAAAGGGAUUUGCUUAUUUUUGUUUCUCUAGGGAGCAGUUCCAGUGCACAGCCAUUGCACACACCAGAGAAAGGCCACGGCACUCCUGCAGUGGGACAGCACCGACUGGAGAGCUCCUCCCUCAUCCACCUGUGCUCCAGCAGGGAACAUUUGCUACCUGGCCAGUCACAGGAAAACCUCUCUUUAGAAGAGAGUCCCUAAUGCACAGGUAAGUGCUGCCUGGAAUGACUAAAGCAAUGCUCUAAGGGUACAUUAAAUAACUAGUUUCAGUGCUGGUUCACCUCUGGCUGCAGCACCUGCACCCAGGGGCUUGGGGCCCUUGCUCACCUGGUGCCAGUGUAGUGGUGAUGGUGACACAGGUGGCAUCCAAUCCCCAGCCAUGUCUGACCAGAUUGGGGAAGGGCCAUUUCACAGAUCAAACCCCUCACCCAGCCCCUUCAAGACGUAUUCACCCAGACUGCCCAUUCUGAUCUGUGCUUAGGUGCCGUGGGCUGCCCCAGCCAUAGCUUUGUUGUCCAGGGCCUUGGUGGACACCUCAGAUGGACACUUUGCUGAGGAUGCUGGCAGAGCAGCAGAGCUUCCCCGAGACCCUGCUCCUGGAGGCACGUGGCAGCAAGGGCGAGGGUGGCUCCACCAGCUCGAUGUCAGCGAGGUCAGCGCUUGCACUUGUGGUGAGGCAGCCUGGAAAACAGAGCAGGCAAGGAGAAAACCCAGGUCAGGAAAAACAGCUGUGUCCUUAGAAAAACCGUGUGGCACAUCUCAGCCCCUCCCCUGGCCUCUUCCCAGCCUCUCCUGAGAUCACUCAGGUGAACUUGACCUCCAGAGGAGGAAUUUGCUGUAGGCAGCUGAAGAAUUGCCAGACUGCACUUCCCAGAGAAAGCAGGGAUUUCUCUUUGUCAGCUCCCAGAAGUGAGGAGCAAUGAGGUCCUGAGAGGCUGUCAGUAUCCAGAGAACUGGCACAGAAUUCUCCCUGGAAGGUGCCUUAACCUCUGGAAAAAUUCGAAAGAAUCACAAUUUCUUCCAUUACAUAACAGGUAGGAGGGAGGAACAGCCUUGGAACAAGGCAGGGGGAGCACAGGAAUGUUCUGAACCUCUCUGAAGGCUGGCACCAUUGGCACCCCCAAUGAACCUCCCUGAGGCAUGGUUGUGAUUUGAGGCAUAGACCUACUUCCAGUGCAACAACUGACUCCAUUCUCAGCUGUGCCUGGCCAGACAAUCCUCCCUUCACCUUCCUAGCCCAGGAGGCAGAACUGCACCCUAGAGGCAGAACCACGUGCGGAGCGCAGGAGGCGCGCGCCAAGCAGAGGAGGCAGAACUGCACGCGGAGUAUGGGAGAUACAAGGUGAACACAGAGCAUGGGAGGCACAGCAGAGGAGGUGUGAGCUGAGCAGGGAGCACAGGAGGUAAAAGCUGAACACAGAGCAGAGGCAGCAAGGGAGGAGGAGGGGAAGGAGAGCUGUUACUGAUGAACAGCAGCAGAGGGGCAUGCAGGAAGCAUUGCUCUUACCUGUGGCCAUUACUGUACCGAGAGCAUUAACACUCUAAUCUAAAGGGAGAGAACAAAACCAUGUCAGUGAAGAACCAAAGGGGGGAACAGGACCAUGUCAGUGCAGGACCAAAGGGGGGGAACAGGACCAUGUCAGUGCAGGACCAGCACUCUGUGACUGCUGCGCUUGCAUCAGCCUGACACAGCACACCCUGCUAAAGGUGGGAAAAGGAAAAGGAACUCCCCUCAGGGACCUGCAGAAACACACACCCCAUGCACUCUCUCCUGGGAUCUGAGGACUGAAACAACCAAUGGAGGGAAUGUUGGCAAAAAUUGGAAGGAAUUAUCAUUGUGCUUCAUCUUCUGUCAAACCUGCUGCUGUGGGAUGGUGGUGUGCAGCUGCUUCAUGCCUCAGCUCCACGUCCAGCACUGUUGCUGGUCACACCAUUUGAAACCGGCUAAAAUUUGAGGCUUCAUGGAGACCUAGAUGUCUGUGACACUACAGCCAGGUUAAAACUCCAGGAAGUGAGCAGCAUAGUGAUCCUGGUGCCAGAAGAGGAAGUCUUUGAAUGCAUAAAACCUGUCCAUGAGCAGUCACACACCUGCACUCAGACAAGAUACACACACACACACACACACACACACACACACACACACA